GACGAACGCUGGCGGCGUGCUUAACACAUGCAAGUCGAACGGAAAGGCCCUGCUUUUGUGGGGUGCUCGAGUGGCGAACGGGUGAGUAACACGUGAGUAACCUGCCCUUGACUUUGGGAUAACUUCAGGAAACUGGGGCUAAUACCGGAUAGGAGCUCCUGCUGCAUGGUGGGGGUUGGAAAGUUUCGGCGGUUGGGGAUGGACUCGCGGCUUAUCAGCUUGUUGGUGGGUUAGUGGCUUACCAAGGCUUUGACGGGUAGCCGGCCUGAGAGGGUGACCGGCCACAUUGGGACUGAGAUACGGCCCAGACUCCUACGGGAGGCAGCAGUGGGGAAUAUUGCACAAUGGGCGGAAGCCUGAUGCAGCAACGCCGCGGGCGGGAUGACGGCCUUCGGGUGGUAAACCGCUUUCGCCUGUGACGAAGCGUGAGUGACGGUAAUGGGUAAAGAAGCACCGGCUAACUACGUG
rnacentral:rRNA from 1 species